GGUGGGUGGGGGAGGGUAGAACUGACAGCAGAGAGGCCAGAGGGAAUGUUUUGUGAUGAUAGAAAUAUUGUACAUCUCUAUUGUGUUGGUGGUUAUCCAGCACUAAACGCUCUAGAUUUGUCGUCUAGAUAUGGAGAAAAUACAGAUGUAUAACAUGAUUAAAGUACUUUAACAACGAGUAUACAGUGAAGUGUUCAGUAACAGAAUACAGAUUGUGGGGGAAAAAUUAACAACAGUCCAGGGAAUUUCGUGGAAGAGGAAAAUGGAUGAGAUUUUGGUUGGUGCUUCUAGGAAGGGGAGCAGCCUCGGACACAGCAAUGAACUAAACUUCAGUUUAAACUAUCCUUGUGGGAUCCCUGGGUGGCGCAGCGGUUUGGUGCCUGCCUUUGGCCCAGGGCACGAUCCUGGAGACCCUGGAUCGAACCCCAUGUCGGGCUCCCAGUGCAU